UCGAUAACAUGGCACUUUAUUUGAUUGGUUGGGUCACUCUCUCGCUUCUCCUCCAGUCGUGCCUCCGGUUGGCAUGUGCGCCGACAUGAAUGGCGAGGUUUCAUCUGGAUGGGGGCCGCAGUUUGGAGGUGUUGUAGAUGGGUGUUGGCGGUGCUAGGGUUCAGCUAACAAGUUUAUCGUAUGCAGACGCAAGUACAGAAGAGCACACGUUCAACUUUUGUUGCGCAGCCAUGGUUGUUGCGGUGGAUGGCGUAUUGCCUAUUGGAGGACUGGGCAGCGGCCUUUCUCACAGCUGCAGUUCUGUUCUUGCUGCCAGGGAGAUCCUACAUGACUGGGUUUUCACCAGAACCAAGGGUGUGUGGAAGACUGUUGGAUGUGAUUUGGGCGGUUGGUUGUUCGUUAGUUUUGUCGUUGCUGGUGCUCUUGUCCGUUGGAUUGCUAGGAUCCAUUGGUUCUCCUUUUGGUCGACAGUCCAAUUGCAGAAAUGGAACCGCCACCUUCACAGCAGAACAUUACGCGUGGGUGGUCGAUGGACUGCCAAUGCUACUCCAAAGGGGCUGACCUUCACCUCCCCGUGUCCCUGAACAAGAUGGACCAACGAGUUGUGACCAUGUGCUCUGCGAGAAGUGCAUCAAGGUGGCCAUCAAAUUGUUGCUGCUACUACUGCUCGACCUGUGCUGUGAGCGGGGCUGACGCCGCAUGCUGCCUGCCAUUGGAGCUGGCCAGGGAGCUUCUGCUUGCCGUGCGUGCCUCCUUCCUUCGGCAGAAGCACCAGCGACGAAUCAGGCUGUUAUCGCGAUGAGGAUGCUGUGGGAAAAUAGGGACAUGUUUGAUCUGGUUAUCAGUGAUGUCCACAUGCCAGACAUGGAUGGCUUUAAGCUUCUUGAGCUUGUGGGGCUUGAAAUGCACCUCCUUGUCAUCAGUCGCCGCUGGAGCCAGACAAGGUCAUGACUUGCCUUACCUGGUGAGGUACUGGCUAGGAAGAGUGCAAGACGCCACCACCAUGUACCAGAUGGUGCCAUCAAGGACAUCGUACUGCUGAUGAUCUACAUGUCCAUUUCUCCUUCUCUCCCUCUCUCUCAAAUGUCAAGCUCGAUUCCUUAUCAUUUUGCACAAUGGAGGUCCCUGGAAGCCACUUGAUCGAAAUCCCGUGUCUUGUGAUAUGCAUUUCAUAUGGUUGCUUCCCUUUGAUAUUUUCCUGCUUUAUAUUUGUCUAUGGAUACGAACAAAUAUGAUUAUGAUUCCUGCAUUGCAUAUGGUUGCUUUCCAUUGAUGAUAAAUGGUGAACAACUAUGGUGUUUUUCCAGCUUAACUACAGAAAGUUGAAAUGUGCCUAGCUCGAACCCAUUUGUCACUCCAACGUCUUCUUUCUACUUCAUAUAUGGUUCUGGUAUGUCCUUUAUACUCAGUACAUUCAUGUCUGGUUUGUGAGAUUUGCUAAAUUUAGUGUUGCGCCGCAUGCAAGAUAGACGAUCUCCAUAUAUUAUUACUUUUGACUGACAAGAAAUUCAGAUAUUGUUGUCCUGUACUGAUUAUACUGUGAUUAUUUCUCUCUUAUUGCUUUGGUUGCUAAAAUGUAUUUCUGACCCUAUACAAAAAUAUUUUUUGUGUAAAUAAUGCAUCACAUAGUUUUUCCGUUGAUAAACAAAUUUUUGAUGUAUAAGCACGACCAAAUCAAAUUACCAGACUAAGAAAUCCACCCCUCGCUCCAGUUUAGUCUGGAUCAGACUUUUAAUCUAAAACUACUUGAGGCGACAACAAAAUACAUAUACGAAUCUGUAAUUUGUAGAUCACUGUGAUAGCUAUAGCAUAGUCGAGAUGUUGUUGUGUCACUAUGGGUAUUGAUAAAUGAAGAAAAAUAAUAAAUCUAACUGGUCGCAGGAGGUAAGCCAGAAGCGAGAAUUUGAGCAAGCCAUGCCGCAACUAUAUUAGGAAGGCUUGCAUCACCAUUAUUUUAAGGAAGUUCAAUCCACAUAUGUUUUGGGCAUCCAAUUUUAAAUUCUUAGCUGCAUGGAAGUGUUACCUUUUAGUUCUUUGUGCUGCUACAAAAAUAAUCAUCGUUGGGCUGAAAAUUUGACUGGCAACCUAAGUUGAUUUUUAGUAUUUUUCUUCUUGGUAAGCUUUCAGUUAUAUGGGCGAAAAUGUUGCUUGAAGGUUUCAAAUAUAUCACACCGGAACUAUUCCAAGAUUGCUAUUGAAAUCUUCCUUCUGGAAGUAUUUGAAGGCAGAUUCUUGCCCAGUUGAGCUGCUUUAAUAUUCUUGAAGGACACAUCAAAGAUUUCUGGAUGAUGCAAAUUUAUAUGAAUUACCCAUGGUAUUUACUUUCAGAAAUCUGGAUAGACUAAGGACGUUGGCAAGUUGUGAUGGUUAUCAAAGUAGUUAUCUAAUCCUACUUAGUAUUAGCUCUUGCCAAUCACAUCGUAUACACAUAGUCUAUAGUUCUCUAUCAGCGGCGGAGGACGAGGUGUGCGCGAGGAUCCCAACGAGGAAGAGGUGAGCCGCCGCGACAUUGAAGCUCUCGCACCGUUGCUCCCCAUCGAGCUUGCGCGUGCGCUGGAUCUGGUGGCCAAUACAACACGUCCAUCUGCCGGCACCUCCAAGCAACACCUACAACAGUGGAUGUCUCUGUCCAAAAGAUCACCGAGAUUCUAGAUGAUCUGAAAGCAAUUUACAAGACUCUUUAGGAGAUGAAGCAGAAAAUUGCUGUUGCAUGGCUGUCGGUCGUGGCCGCUACAUUAAUCAAAGCCAGGGCAUUAAUUAUUAGGACAUAUACUCUACAUGGGAAGUUGCGUGCUUGCUAUGAGCUUAAGAUGCAUCGGUAUAAGUACACCUUUCGAUGUACUUUUGUUGUUAUGAUGUAUCUCUUGCUUUUGGUACAUUGUAGUGAAGUUAUUGUCGUGGACAACCAUUUGUAUGCUAUGAAUUGAGUCUUUAUGCCUUUUUGAUCAAAUAGAAUCUAUCAAAGGGCAGCUACUCUGCUCUUUGUUAUUCUGGAAUCUGACUUGCUUCUAUUAAACAUCUAUCCUCUGUAAUGAAUGUAUAGUUGUGAACCUUCUAUCUUCUGUAAUGAAUGUAUAGUUGUGAACCUAUUGACAUGGGCUAUUACUGUUCCUUGCUUGGGUCUUUAUGCUGCCUAAUCAAAUAGCAAUCUAUCAUAGGCAACUACUUUGCUCUUUUUAUUUUGGAUCUGGUAUUAUGUCAUUAUUUAGGAUUAGGCAUGCUGCACCUAUGGGAUGGACCAGACAAUGCGUCAGGAUAUGUUGACAACAGUUACACUAUCUAUAAAGACGAUCUUAUGUUUGAUAACUCUUGCAAAAUUUUGUACUUUGUUUACAUCCAGGUAAUGUGUUGAGCUAUACACCACCCGCCAACAACAAAAUUAGAAUAUGGCAGUUUGGAUUACUACUGACUUAGCAUUACAUGCUUGAACAAAAUAUUGGGACCGGCACCCUCACGCCAAGGCGCGAUCCCAAUCUAGUGAUCAUUAGAGACCAAGUCUGAAGCUUCAGGAUGCAUAUCACAAAAAUCAACAAAAAAGGAAAAUCUACUCCAGUAUUGCUCCUUGCAGUUGCAGACCUUACUGGAUGAACUGAUGCAAGCGAUGGCUAGCAAUGGAAUGGAUGUGUGCUAAAUUUCUAUGCAGAAGUUGAUUUGUCCAAGCUAUGGGUAAAUCGUGGCAAAUACGUGCACAUGGAAAGGAGAUUGAGGUAUAUCAGCGUGGGAGUCCAAUCAAAUAGGAGGGAGAGAGGGGCGUGUGUAAUUCCUGGACGGAAAGAGUCUCUGGGAGGUGAGCACAAUGGUAAGAGUCAUCAUGCUCGCGUCUGCUGUAGAUUUCAUAGAAUAUUUUACUGGCUAUUGAGCAUUGACAAUUGAAUAAAUACUGCCGGAACGUAGCCUUCCUGACCUCCUGAAUGCAUAUGCGCUCCAUU